UAGCUGUGUGCAGUGGUAUGGAGCAUUGU
rnacentral:sRNA from 1 species